rnacentral:rRNA from 1 species
GUCCAUUCCGCGUGAGUGAAGAAGGCCUUCGGGUUGUAAAGCUCUUUCGCAAGGGAAGAAACACCGGCUCUAACACAGUCCGGGAAUGACGGUACCUGAAGAAUAAGCACCGGCUAACUACGUGCCAGCAGCCGCGGUAAUACGUAGGGUGCGAGCGUUAAUCGGAAUUACUGGGCGUAAAGCGUGCGCAGGCGGUUAUACAAGACAGGCGUGAAAUCCCCGGGCUUAACCUGGGAAUGGCGCCUGUGACUGUAUAGCUAGAGUGUGUCAGAGGGGGGUAGAAUUCCACGUGUAGCAGUGAAAUGCGUAGAUAUGUGGAGGAAUACCAAUGGCGAAGGCAGCCCCCUGGGAUAACACUGACGCUCAUGCACGAAAGCGUGGGGAGCAAACAGGAUUAGAUACCCUGGUAGUCCACGCCCUAAACGAUGCUGACUAGUUGUUCGGGAUUUACAUCCUGAGUAACGUAGCUAACGCGUGAAGUCAGCCGCCUGGGGAGUACGGUCGCAAGAUUAAAACUCAAAGGAAUUGACGGGGACCCGCACAAGCGGUGGAUGAUGUGGAUUAAUUCGAUGCAACGCGAA